rnacentral:rRNA from 1 species
AGAGUUUGAUCAUGGCUCAGAUUGAACGCUGGCGGCAGGCCUAACACAUGCAAGUCGAACGGUAACAGAAAGCAGCUUGCUGCUUUGCUGACGAGUGGCGGACGGGUGAGUAAUGUCUGGGAAACUGCCUGAUGGAGGGGGAUAACUACUGGAAACGGUAGCUAAUACCGCAUAACGUCGCAAGACCAAAGAGGGGGACCUUCGGGCCUCUUGCCAUCGGAUGUGCCCAGAUGGGAUUAGCUUGUUGGUGGGGUAACGGCUCACCAAGGCGACGAUCCCUAGCUGGUCUGAGAGGAUGACCAGCCACACUGGAACUGAGACACGGUCCAGACUCCUACGGGAGGCAGCAGUGGGGAAUAUUGCACAAUGGGCGCAAGCCUGAUGCAGCCAUGCCGCGUGUAUGAAGAAGGCCUUCGGGUUGUAAAGUACUUUCAGCGGGGAGGAAGGGAGUAAAGUUAAUACCUUUGCUCAUUGACGUUACCCGCAGAAGAAGCACCGGCUAACUCCGUGCCAGCAGCCGCGGUAAUACGGAGGGUGCAAGCGUUAAUCGGAAUUACUGGGCGUAAAGCGCACGCAGGCGGUUUGUUAAGUCAGAUGUGAAAUCCCCGGGCUCAACCUGGGAACUGCAUCUGAUACUGGCAAGCUUGAGUCUCGUAGAGGGGGGUAGAAUUCCAGGUGUAGCGGUGAAAUGCGUAGAGAUCUGGAGGAAUACCGGUGGCGAAGGCGGCCCCCUGGACGAAGACUGACGCUCAGGUGCGAAAGCGUGGGGAGCAAACAGGAUUAGAUACCCUGGUAGUCCACGCCGUAAACGAUGUCGACUUGGAGGUUGUGCCCUUGAGGCGUGGCUUCCGGAGCUAACGCGUUAAGUCGACCGCCUGGGGAGUACGGCCGCAAGGUUAAAACUCAAAUGAAUUGACGGGGGCCCGCACAAGCGGUGGAGCAUGUGGUUUAAUCGAUGCAACGCGAAGAACCUUACCUGGUCUUGACAUCCACAGAACUUUCCAGAGAUGGAUUGGUGCCUUCGGGAACUGUGAGACAGGUGCUGCAUGGCUGUCGUCAGCUCGUGUUGUGAAAUGUUGGGUUAAGUCCCGCAACGAGCGCAACCCUUAUCCUUUGUUGCCAGCGGUCCGGCCGGGAACUCAAAGGAGACUGCCAGUGAUAAACUGGAGGAAGGUGGGGAUGACGUCAAGUCAUCAUGGCCCUUACGACCAGGGCUACACACGUGCUACAAUGGCGCAUACAAAGAGAAGCGACCUCGCGAGAGCAAGCGGACCUCAUAAAGUGCGUCGUAGUCCGGAUUGGAGUCUGCAACUCGACUCCAUGAAGUCGGAAUCGCUAGUAAUCGUGGAUCAGAAUGCCACGGUGAAUACGUUCCCGGGCCUUGUACACACCGCCCGUCACACCAUGGGAGUGGGUUGCAAAAGAAGUAGGUAGCUUAACCUUCGGGAGGGCGCUUACCACUUUGUGAUUCAUGACUGGGGUGAAGUCGUAACAAGGUAACCGUAGGGGAACCUGCGGUUGGAUCACCU